AUUGAACGCUGGCGGCAGGCCUAACACAUGCAAGUCGAGCGAGCGGCGGACGGGUGAGUAAUGUCUGGGAAACUGCCUGAUGGAGGGGGAUAACUACUGGAAACGGUAGCUAAUACCGCAUACCAUCAGAUGUGCCCAGAUGGGAUUAGCUAGUAGGUGGGGUAACGGCCCACCUAGGCGACGAUCCCUAGCUGGUCUGAGAGGAUGACCCGGCAAACGGGAACUGAGACAAGGGCCAGACUCCGAUGGGAGGCAGCAGUGGGGAAUAUUGCACAAGGGGCGCAAGCCGGAUGCAGCCAUGCCGCGUGUAUGAAGAAGGCCGUCGGGUUGUAAAGUACUUUCAGCGGGGAGGCGUUACCCGCAGAAGAAGCACCGGCUAACUCCGUGCCAGCAGCCGCGGUAAUAC
rnacentral:rRNA from 1 species